rnacentral:antisense_RNA from 1 species
CACAAUGGUGGGGCGUGCAGGGCAGCCGAAAGGCUGGCCGGGUUCUAUGGUGACCGGUUUCUCACCCCUGUACGUCUCACCACCCUU